rnacentral:rRNA from 1 species
UACGUAGGGAGCAAGCGUUUGUCCGGAAUCAUUGGGCGUAAAGCGCGCGUAGGCGGCCUCAUAAGUCCGUUGUGAAAGUCAAAGGCUCAACCUUUGAAAGCCGAUGGAUACUGUGAGGCUAGAGUCCGGAAGAGGCGAGUGGAAUUCCUGGUGUAGCGGUGGAAUGCGCAGAUAUCAGGAGGAACACCAAUAGCGAAGGCAGCUCGCUGGGACGGUACUGACGCUAAGGCGCGAAAAGCGUGGGGAGCGAACAGG